GGGAGUAUAGCUUAGUGGUAGAGCAUGUGCGUGGCAUGCACAAGGCCCUUGGUUCAGUCCCCAGUGCUUCCA
rnacentral:tRNA from 1 species